rnacentral:rRNA from 1 species
CCAGCAAUGCCGCGUGAGUGAAGAAGGCCUUCGGGUUGUAAAGCUCUUUCAGUUGAGAAGAAAAAAUUAGUGACUAAUAAUCGCAAUUCAUGAGUAUCAACAGAAGAAGCACCGGCUAACUACGUGCCAGCAGCCGCGGUAAUACGUAGGGUGCAAGCGUUAAUCGGAAUUAUUGGGCGUAAAGGGUGCGCAGGCGGUUUUGUAAGUCAGAUGUGAAAUCCCCGGGCUUAACCUGGGAAUUGCGUUUGAAACUACAAGACUAGAGUGUGGCAGAGGGGGGUGGAAUUCCAUGUGUAGCAGUGAAAUGCGUAGAGAUGUGGAAGAACAUCGAUGGCGAAGGCAGCCCCCUGGGCUAACACUGACGCUCAGGCACGAAAGCGUGGGGAGCAAACAGGAUUAGAUACCCUGGUAGUCCACGCCCUAAACUAUGUCAACUAGUUGUCGGAUCUUAAUAGAUUUGGUAACGUAGCUAACGCGUGAAGUUGACCGCCUGGGGAGUACGGUCG